CAGCAACCAGGUGCUCGGUUGUAAUGCCUGUGAAGACAAACAAAACAGUUUAUUUGCAAAAUUCUAAAGUGUUGAGUGUUUUUUUUUUUUGUAUUACGGUUUCGAAUAUCAUUUGGUUUUGAAAGCAUCUAAGCUAAAUGCCUGAUUUUAAUCCUUUUUUCCGGCACCGCUUGCCAACUUACCCCAGCUUUCAACGGUUCUGCCAAAAUAUUCCUGUGUCUCAUUGUCAUAGACCAUCUGCUUGAAGGAUUUCUUCUUGGGCCUCUCUGGUGGACGGGCA